AUUGAACGCUGGCGGCACGCCUAACACAUGCAAGUCGAGCGGUAGCAUGAAUAGUAGCAAUACUAUUUGAUGACGAGCGGCGGACGGGUGAGGAACACGUAGGGACCUGCCUUAGAGAGGGGACAACCAAGGGAAACUUUGGCUAAUACCGCAUAAUCUCGAGAGAGAAAAGCUGCCCGCAAGGGUGGCGCUUUAAGAGGGGCCUGCGUCCGAUUAGCUAGUUGGUGAGGUAAAGGCUCACCAAGGCGAUGAUCGGUAACUGGUCUGAGAGGACGACCAGUCACACUGGGACUGAGACACGGCCCAGACUCCUACGGGAGGCAGCAGUGGGGAAUCUUGGACAAUGGGGGCAACCCUGAUCCAGCGAUGCCGCGUGGGUGAAGAAGGCCUUCGGGUUGUAAAGCCCUUUAGGCCGGGAAGAAGGUUAGUUGUUUAAGAGAUAGCUAGCUUGACGGUACCAGCAGAAUAAGCACCGGCAAACUCUGUGCCAGCCGCCGCCGUAA
rnacentral:rRNA from 1 species